UUUAAUGGACCAUCUCACAUGUAGGUUUUGAGAUCUUGUGUGACUUAUAGGAUGAUGAUCAUCAUGUUCUGUUGAUAUAGUUUGUUCCUAUUCGUAUCUCAUAUGUAAUUAUCAUAAAUUAGAAUACAAUGUCAAAGCAAUUUGAAUUGAAUUGAAUAUUUACGGGAUGUAUUUUUCAGAAAGAUUAAUGGGAUUUCCCUGCUAUUAAGGGAAUGUAUUUUUAGAUAUUGGUUUCCCAUUGUUAUAGACUGAGCAUGCGUACAUUUCAACAGUGUGGAUCAAUACCCCGUUGCUGUGCGGAGUAAAAAGAAUUCUAAAGACUGACAAUGAGUGGUGAAGGAGGGUCGGACGGUGGCAGCGGACAAGGUGGAGGUGGCGGUGGCCAUGCAAAAUUCGAAACAAAUAAUUUACAGCGAAAUGAAGCUGGAAGUCAUUAUCGCACGUUUGACUUCUUAGAGUGCUGCAAUAUGACUACACCAUGGAUUUCGAACAGUUAUUACAAUGCCUCAUAUACAUGUAGUGAAGGAAACCCAGGAUAAACGAACUUUGAAGUGAUGGUCAUUUUAAAAAAACAAAUAUAUAUUAAUAUACUUUUAAGAGAAAUGUUUAUGUGAAAAUUAUUUUAUAUAACGCUUUUAAUACCUCAGUUAUAUGCUGACUUCGUAGUGUUACUAGAGAUAACUUAUUCUUCUUAUAAAUGUUAAAGCAAAUUCUUUAUUUCAUCAUAAUGUGAAUUUUUCAUCGCAUACUUGUUGUCACUGGAAUACUUUGAACUUUAUGAAUCUUCAAGUAAAAUAUAGCUAGACAUACUGUGUCAAAACAAGUUCUGAAUAUACAAGAUGUUAACUUCUUUGCAUUUACGGGUAUUAAAUGAUCACUUUUGUGUAAUGAAAUACAUGUACUAAAAUAAAAUAUCUAAAGCAAG
rnacentral:lncRNA from 1 species